ACAGUCGUGGUUGAGUGGUUAAGGCGAUAGACUAGAAAUCCGUUGGGGUCUCCCCGCACAGGUUCGAAUCCUGUCGACUGUG
rfam:Ixodes scapularis strain Wikel colony gcontig_1108379228588, whole genome shotgun sequence.